rnacentral:rRNA from 1 species
AUUGAACGCUGGCGGCAUGCCUUACACAUGCAAGUCGAACGGCAGCACGGGAGCAAUCCUGGUGGCGAGUGGCGAACGGGUGAGUAAUAUAUCGGAACGUGCCCAGUCGUGGGGGAUAACGCAGCGAAAGCUGUGCUAAUACCGCAUACGAUCUACGGACGAAAGCGGGGGAUCGCAAGACCUCGCGCGAUUGGAGCGGCCGAUAUCAGAUUAGCUAGAUGGUGAGGUAAAGGCUCACCAAGGCGACGAUCUGUAGCGGGUCUGAGAGGACGACCAGCCACACUGGAGCUGGGACACGAUCCAAGCUCCUAAGGGCGGCAGCAGGGGGGAAUUUUGGACAAUGGGCGCAAGCCUGAUCCAGCAAUGCCGCGUGCAGGAUGAAGGCCUUCGGGUUGUAAACUGCUUUUGUACGGAACGAAACGGUGAGCUCUAAUACAGUUUGCUAAUGACGGUACCGUAAGAAUAAGCACCGGCUAACUACGUGCCAGCAGCCGCAGUAA